rnacentral:rRNA from 1 species
UACCAUGCAGUCGAGCGGCAGCGGGUCCUACGGGAUGCCGGCGAGCGGCGGACGGGUGAGUAAUGCCUAGGAAUCUGCCCAAUAGUGGGGGAUAACGUUCCGAAAGGAACGCUAAUACCGCAUACGUCCUACGGGAGAAAGCAGGGGACCUUCGGGCCUUGCGCUAUUGGAUGAGCCUAGGUCGGAUUAGCUAGUUGGUGAGGUAAAGGCUCACCAAGGCGACGAUCCGUAGCUGGUCUGAGAGGAUGAUCAGCCACACUGGAACUGAGACACGGUCCAGACUCCUACGGGAGGCAGCAGUGGGGAAUAUUGGACAAUGGGCGAAAGCCUGAUCCAGCCAUGCCGCGUGUGUGAAGAAGGUCUUCGGAUUGUAAAGCACUUUAAAUUUGGAAGAAGGGUUUCU